UACGAAGGGGGCUAGCGUUGCUCGGAAUCACUGGGCGUAAAGCGCACGUAGGCGGCUUUCUAAGUCAGGGGUGAAAUCCUGGAGCUCAACUCCAGAACUGCCUUUGAUACUGGAGAGCUUGAGUCCGGAAGAGGUGAGUGGAACUCCGAGUGUAGAGGUGAAAUUCGUAGAUAUUCGGAAGAACACCAGUGGCGAAGGCGGCUCACUGGUCCGGUACUGACGCUGAGGCACGAAAGCGUGGGGAGCGAACAGG
rnacentral:rRNA from 1 species